GCGAGUGUGCCGGAGUGGUCAAACGGGCUGGACUUAAGAUCCAGUAGCUUUAUGCUUGCGAAGGUUCGAACCCUUUCACUCGCA
rnacentral:tRNA from 1 species